rnacentral:piRNA from 1 species
AGUUUUUAUUCCUGCCCUGGUUC